UAUGAUGUCUGAUUUAUAAAUUUAGGCCGUAAUCCUGUCACCUUAGGUCGAUCGGUACCUCAGAUUAUUAACUGUUAAAUUGAGAAAUCAUUUAUCAUUAGUCUUUUAAUUUCAGUUCCUAAACUUGUCUAGGUCACACCCAACAAACUUUCUCCUGGGCUAUUAGCUCAGGCGGUUAGAGCGCACCCCUGAUAAGGGUGAGGUCCCUGGUUCAAGUCCAGGAUGGCCCAUUCGUUGUUGGGGGUAUAGCUCAGUUGGUAGAGCGCCUGCUUUGCAAGCAGGAUGUCAGCGGUUCGAGUCCGCUUACCUCCACUGAUCAACUACCUGAUAACUCAAAUUGGAGAUUGUUAUUUGUUAAAUGUGAUUUAGAUGUUGUUCAACUGAAUGAACCUAGCUUCCUAUCACUCCUUAAUUAAUUUUAGGCUGAUAAGACGCUGGGCUCACUGAAUGUUCUAAGGGACAUUCAGUUUGUUUCAGCAGAACCUUGACAACUGCAUAGGAAAAUCUAGAAAAAUAAAGCAUCUCAUAGAUGCAUAGAAGUUUUUCAUUUUUUAAUGAUUAGAUUUUUAUGUUCAAUUCUUGAGUUAGAGCAAAUUUUCUAUUGCUUAAGUUCACUUAUAUAGAUUUAAG
rnacentral:tRNA from 1 species